ensembl:lncRNA
GAAAUUACAAAAAUUACUCUAAUCUAUUGAACAUACACAACAUGCCUUGUUCCAUACAGUGCAGUGUUCUGGACCCCUCCACCUUUGUGACUCACUCUACCUCAGACCGAGAAGCCUCUCCUGGCCUGGAGCCCAGAGUUCUUAGCUUAACUGACUGAGAGCUUUGCCCCCGGGGCAGGUUUAGCCCUAAACACACACUCACCACAGAGAAAAUGCAGCGCAUCACACAAAUUCAUGUGUGUGUGUGAGAGGAAAGGGCAGGAGGGGUGCCCUGGGAGAGGUCACUACAGAGGCAUCCUGCAAUAUAGGGUAAGCAACUAUGGCCUGCCCUAUACUGUACUACUUUAAAGCUGUGGCCUACCAACUGCUGGGAGAAGCUCACUUUAGCUUUCCUCUCUCUAAAGAGGAGCCUCUCAUAAACUGUCUGCCGUUGGAUGUGUAGGCUAACAGUGGGUCUAUGACGAAUCAGGAGAACAAUGAUGAUCUGACUAACCCCAACCUACAUUACUACUAUUUGUAGUAAUGCCAAACACUUGUGAGUGGAGACCAACAAAGACAGGGUUGAGAGAGGAGCAGAGAGGAGAGGGAGUGGGGGAGUGGGAAGUAGGACACAGGAAAUGGACAGAGAGACAGAGAGCGCAAGGGAGGGGAAGGAAACAUGGAGGAUGACUACAACAAGAAUCACUUCCACUAAUUGUGUGUCUCCUCCUCGGCUGUCUGCGGAGCACUUUGGCAUUUCACUUCUGUCUUUAUCGGUCAAAAGGGAGGCUAAUGAAUAUGCAAAUUUUGGUCCAACGCCUCCAGUUGUGGCGGGCAACACCCCCUAGUUAGCCGCCCAUAACGACAAGGGGUCAGAGACACUCUGGUUUCUCAGCAACCUGGAGUCACGGCACUCUACCCCGCCUUCCCACCUGAUGGGAACAAAGGAUUAUUCAUGAAAAAUGGAGAAGUACAGUGUACGUCAACCUGCAUCCUUCCCCGCCCACACACUGUGACAGGGCUGAAAUCCACAGCCCAUUCUGCUUGAUUGAUACCAUCAAACCAACCAAGGUCACAGCUUCCUCCGAGCAGCCCAGCCGCCAUUGCCAGCAGGCAGGCAGCCACCACAUCAUAGAGAUAUACAGGGUAAGAGAGAAGGGGGCAGUUCAAGAGCUACAAGCAAGUCAAUGCGAUGCAAAAUGGUUCACAUUUCAAGCACCCAUGGAGCAAUUGCAUUGUAUAUGCUAUACAAUACGCUAUAUGAUGUUACUCCGAUUCCAAAUUAAUGUUAGAGUUUCAACUCAGUAAGUCACUUUGGACAAAUGUAAACCUUGAUCAGUUCUGUCACAGAAUGAUCAUAAGUAUUUUCAGAUUACUUAUGGAAAUGAUUGAACUGUCAGAUUCAGUCUGUGUGUAACGACCAUUGGUGGAAGAAGGUGAAGACCAAGAUGCAGCAUGAACCGGCGUCUGUCGAAGCAAUAAGCGAGGACAUCUGUGUAUCUGACAGCCUUCAAUGGGGUCAAGCUGAAGAACAAUCUA